UACGUAGGUGGCAAGCGUUGUCCGGAUUUACUGGGCGUAAAGGGCGUGCAGGCGGUUUGUUAAGUGCAGGGUGAAAGCUCCCGGCUCAACUGGGGAGAGGUCCUUGCAUACUGGCAAACUCGAGGGAGGCAGAGGAAAGUGGAAUUCCCGGUGUAGUGGUGAUAUGCGUAGAUAUCUGGAGGAAUACCGGUGGCGAAGGCGGCAUCCUGGACCGGCAUUGACGCUGAGGAGCGAAAGCCAGGGGAGCAAAGCGGG
rnacentral:rRNA from 1 species